rnacentral:lncRNA from 10 species
CAGAAAGAUGAAGGUCUUAGAAUCAUUGAUUGGAAUGAUCCAGAAAUUCCCUUAUGAUGACCCUACUUACGAUAAACUCCAUGAAGACUUAGACAAGAUCAGAGGAAAAUUUAAACAGUUUUGUUCGUUACUCAAUGUUCAGCCAGACUUUAAAAUUAGUGCAGAAGGUUCCGGACUUUCAUUUUGAGGAGGAUGGAUGAACAGAGACCGAACGUCGAGGAACAGAUGGUCACCGAAGUCCCCACACGCUGGCUCUCCACACCCCUCCUGUUCCAGAAAGCAUGUCCGAAAGCAGUCCAGGAGAUUAUUAAGGGGUCGCCAUGAAUCCACUUUGGUUUUAAAACCAUUCCCGAAUGUCCUAGUGGAUUGUGUUGUGCUGCCUAAGCUGCCGGCUGCAGGAGCCAGAGAAGUGACCCCCGCGGGAGCAGCGGCAGGUGGAUCUCCACGGUGGCUCGCUUUGUUUUUGUUUUGUUUUUUCUUUUAAGACGGAGUCUCACUCUGUCGCCGAGUUUGGAGUGUAUUGGCGCGAUCUCGGCUCACUGUAACCUCCGCCUCCUGAAUUCAAGUGAUUCUCCUGCCUCAGCCUCCCUAGUAGCUGGGAUUAUAGGCGCCCCCCACCACGCCCAAGUAACUUUUGUAUUUUUAGUAGAGAUGGGGUUUUGCCUUGUUGGCCAGGCUGGUCUUGAACUCCCAGCCUGAAAUGAUCCACCCACGUCCACCUACCAAAGUGCUGGAAUUGCAGGCAUGAGCCACCACUCCCGGCCUGCUUUUUGUUUUUGAAGACAGGACUUAGGUCUCCUCCUCCCGAACUCUAAACCUGCGUGUGUGGCUGUGCACCGCUCGUUUGUAGCGUCACCUCAGGUCUGGGGAAGUCUGUGCUGGCAUCUCCUCAUUGUGCCUUCAUCAGAGCUGGUGCCUUCGGGCCAGAAAGACUCUCGUUCUUUCUAGAUGGUGGGAUCAGGGGCCUUUGCUGUGUUUCCCUUGGUGG